CCCAGAUCCCCAUCGCCCCUGAGCUGACCCGGCCCUGCAGACUCCUGAAAUCAUGGACAAGCACAGCAUGCAAACGGGAACAAAUUUCCCCGUGGGACUUCCCCCCCAGUAUCCACCGGCCCCAU